AGUUCAACGGGCAGAAUGGCAGACUUUUAAUCUGUAAGAUGAGGGUUCGAAUCCCUCC
rnacentral:tRNA from 1 species